rnacentral:rRNA from 1 species
ACGCUCGACACCUACGGAGGCAGCAGUAGGGAAUCUUCCACAAUGGACGCAAGUCUGAUGGAGCAACGCCGCGUGAGUGAAGAAGGUCUUCGGAUCGUAAAACUCUGUUGUUAGAGAAGAACACGAGUGAGAGUAACUGUUCAUUCGAUGACGGUAUCUAACCAGCAAGUCACGGCUAACUACGUGCUAGCAGCCGCGGUAAUCUGAGCGGGCUGGCAAGGC